ACAAAUCGUCUGUAGAGGCUAUCAUGAGAUUCCAGUGGUCUUUUUUGGUCGUUCAUGAUGUAUCCCUCGAGCACGCCUGAGUAGUUCAUUGUUACCCUUAUGAUUGCUGAAUCACUGAAAGGGUUGGAUACUGAAACCAAUCUGCCCCCUUGUGAUGAAAAUUCUGUUUUCCAGUCUUGAUUUGGUGAAUUCGGAAAUUCAGGGAAGUGGCCUCCCCAGAAGAUCGUCCUAUACACUCUUUGUGCCCCCUUGGUAAGCAUGAGUUGAGACAAUCCAUGGUUUUCAAUCCUGUAGCUGAAUUCUCCGACAGAUGGGUCGUCAACAGUUCUCCACGAUGUCAGAUAUUUAGCCUGAUCUCCAGUAUGAGUGUCUCCCACCACCAUCUUCAUUCCAGGUAACCUUGUGUCACCCGGGUAGUCAAAGCUCUGCCAUAUGUAGCUUGCCUGUAAGAAAGAGUUGGGUAUUAGUUUGUCUACAAUAAGCAGGUUGCCAGAAUCCAGAAGCUGUACAACUGGAGUUGAUGCAGCCAUGGAGGAACUGGAAAUCCAUAUGGGUGUUGUACCCUGUGGUGAGGUGAGGAUGAGGCUUCCGUUAUUGGUUAUAGUCAAGUAUCCAUGUUGGCCCGUGAUGGGGCUUUCUCUGUUUGCCACCCAGACUACGAUGUCUGGUGUAUUUUUGUUACCAUAUUCCCAGGAAUCUGCCUGUGUUUUUGCCCGGAGAGAAGAAUCCUAACUCGAAUAUUUUGGCCGGAGAAAUUAGUAGCUCUCCAUCAGGAAGAGUUUGGUUUGGGAAAAGUGUAUCAGCAGCAAUGCAGAGUUUGAAAAUGCUAAGAAGACAGUAGGAUUUGGUGUGAGCUGUGGAUGCUCCAUUUGGUAGGCUAAUUGGGAUGUAAGGUGAAAUAGUAGUCGUAUCAACAUAUAGAAGACUUCCUUUCAUUCGUACCAAUCAACGAUCUUGAUCGAUUAUAAAUGUGAAAUGAAACCAUAUUGUGGGCCUCCAUCUAGAUAUUAGUCUAAUCUGUUGUUUUGAAUUCAGUUUUUUCUACACGGAGUUUUGAAAAGUAGUAGUAUCCAUAUAUGUUUCCUUGCGUGAAAUUAGAAAUUCUGUAUAAAGUGUCAAUCGUUAACACUUUCAUUCGGAAGGGUUGUUAGUCUUCAAGAAUAAUACUAUUCAAUUGCAACUUUGUGUUGUCUAAUUUACUACCAAGUCAAAUUGUCUAGUGCAUUGCGUUUUCUAACUUCCUUCAUUUUAAGGGCGUCCACAGCCCAACAGCCUCUUUAGGAGCUUUAAGGAGGUGGUUCUAAAAGAGCUCUAAUUUUCUCAUUUUCAUUUUAUCAUUUCAUUUUUAAAAUUUCAUAUUUCAUUAAAUUAAAAAUUUCAACAUUACAUUAAUUAAAAUAAAAUACAAUAAAUAAAAAUAUUAUAAUAAUUAAAAUCGGGUAAAAAUAUUAAAAGAAUUAAUUUAGAAUUUUAAAAUUAAAAAAAAUCAAAAUUAAACUUUUUUUUAUAUAAGUAUUUGGAUUAAGAUGUACAUUUCGAAACAUUUCAAUGCACAAUGAAUUACUCCCGUCUCUUCUCUCUCGUACAUACAAAAUAUGCUUAAGGCAAAUUUUCUUUGUUUCCUUCUCUCUUUCUUUCAAACUCUAGUUGUUCCGUUGUGCCGUCACCACUCUGAAGUCUAAUCUUUCCAUCGUGCCACUAAAACCUUUGCUCCGAUGAGUUGCUCUCUUUAUCUAUCUCUGACGAGCUGUUAUCUCUUUCUCUAUCUCCGAUGACGCUUCUUCCGAUUUACCCGUAAGCUCCAGACCUACUUCCCUUAUUCAAGAUCUAUGAGUUCCAAGAGUUUCAGAUUCAUGAAAAUUAUCAGAUGUAAAUCCAAACAGAUCUAUCAGAAUUAUGAGAUGCAAAUCCAGAUCUAACAUGAUUUAGAAUGAAAUUUGAAUGGAACGAAUUCGUACCAUUAAUUCCAAAAUCUAUCAUGUCAAUCGUACCAUUAAUUCCAAAAUCUGUCGUGUCAAUCGGAGGAAUGGAUGGGCCAAAUGAACUUAUUAGCAUCAUCCAUUCUUUCCAUUCAUAAAUCCGUCACAUAUUUGGUAAAUAAGGGUCAGAGAUGGUGAAUAUGAAGGUAAAUUAAAAAGGACAAAUUUUAAGUUUUUAUUUAUCUAAAGGGUAAUAUGGUAAGUGAAGCUAAUUUUUAAGUUUCUUAUUAGUGUUGUACCCGUGCAUAUAAUCAUUAUAUAAAUAUAAGGAAAGAUAAUUACAAAAAAUAAACGUUAAAAAUUGUAAAAUUGUAAUGGAUGUAAGAAGACAAAUAGACAAUACAAUAUGUAUAAAAUAAUAAAGGAUUAAUCCUAAUUUUUACCCAUACGCAAAGAUAAAAAAGCAAAACAUACCCAACAAAACUAAAACAUAUAAAAGAUAUACCCAAUUUUUAUAUGAACACACAAUUAUACACUUAAUGAAAAUUGAAUUAAAACAAAAAAUUAUAAGGUAAUCCAAAAAAAAUUUAAUAUAUCCACUCACAAUCCCCUAUCAGAAUUCUCAUUUCUUUCUUUCUUUCUCUCUUUAGACUGUUGUCGCUUCUUCCUCCAAAUCGAAAUCUAUGUCGCGCCUCCAUUGCUCCACCACGGCUCUGCUCACCGCCUCGUUGUGCGUAGCAUAAUCGCCAUUGCGUCUCUCUUCGCUUCGUGCAACUCUACACUACAUCACCUUGCCUUGCAUCGCGCUGCUUCUCGACCUCACCACACUUCGUCGCUUUGCCACAUUGUCGCGUUGCUCUCAUUCUCUCUCAAAUCUAGAUGUGCUCGUUGCAGCUUGACGUUUGAUGCUCGACGCUUGUGUGUCGAGCAAUAGUUUAAAUUGAACAAUACGCUCAAGUGUCGAGCAUUAGUUUAAAUUGAACUAUUGCUCGAUUCUUAAUGCUCAACGCUCAAUCAAUCAUCGAGCAUUCAAGUCGAAUAUGUAUGGUAGUGGUGAACUAGUGGUGGUGGUGGUGGAUAGAUGCAUGGUUGUGGUGGUGGUAGAUUUAUAAAGCACAACGAUUGGCGGUGGCACUGUAGUCGACAACCAAUUGUGGCAGUGGCAAGGUUAUUUUUUCUUCAAUUGAUUACUUUAAAAAUUAUGUGACGGUGAACUCGAAUUUGAGAUUUUUAGUGUCGUCAAUGACCAUUUUACUUUAGACCAACAAAUAUUUAUUUUUGCAAUUAUACACUUAUCUAGGGUGUAUGCUCUUAAAAGGUAGAAAUAGGGUAAAUCAUUUGUGAGGGUUUGUGGAAAAGAUUGUUUAAAUUAUUUUUUGAACUGCUCUAUCUAAAUUAGUUGGUGACCUUUUUUUAUUGAGUAGUUGGUGGCAACUCCAAUCUACAUUAUAUUAUGUAUAUUAAAAUAUUGAUAUAUGUAUUUGUAAUUAGAUUUUGAAUGUAUGUAAAAUUCUACAAAUUUUUGAUAAUAUGAUCGCAUGGAUUACAAAAUUAUAAAUUUGGAUUGUGAAAAAAUUUUAUACUCUUUCCAUCUACAAUAAAUGUGGGUUGAGUUGUGUGAACCCUACUACUAUAAAUAAAAGUGACAAUUUUUUAUAGAUAAAUCGAAAAAGAAAUUAUGGCAAAUUUUUUAGUGAUACAAAUUGAAAUUCAAAUGUUUUUAAACGUAGGUUCUUUAUUGAGAUUAUUAAUAUGAAUUAUUAUUAUUUUAAAAUAAUUUCAUUUACUUAUAGUAUUUUAAUUCUGUUAUUUAACAUGUUAAAUUUAAUUCCUGAAUAUUCUGCUCAACCAUUUCCAUCAAAACUAAUUUUCAGGUAGGCGAUUAUUUAUUUAUCAAUUGUCACAUUGGUUCCUAAUUUAUUAUUGAGCAUGAUCAGAAAAUAUCAAUUUUUCGUAGAGUUGAAGAUAAUAUCAUUGAGCGAUUGAAAAUUGGAUUGUGUAUUUGCCUUAAGUUAUGAAUUUUGUUGCUGAUAAUAAUAAUGGUGGUCUUUAGUUGAUAAAUGUAGGUAAGAUUCGAGCGUUAUGUCUAGUUAUUUGGUCUUGAUGUUUUGAGAUGAAUGCGAUUGCUAUGAUUGCUCAGAAACAAAUUUCUUGGUAGAUUAAGAUCAUGUGUGGUUUAACGGAUGAAUUUCUGUUGCUUGUGGAGAUUUUUUUAGUAUUAGGUUGAAGUUUAUUGAUCUAAUCAGUUGUUCGAUUUAUAUAAUUAUAUACGCUCGGAUUUGGUAGCGGCCUUGAGCUGCUUCGGUUGCAUUCUUGUGUUGUGAUAUGAGCUGAAAAUCGAGCUGCUUUUGAGAUUAUUUGUACGGAGGUAGACUUAUAUUUUGAGUUGAAGAAACUUUAAUGAAUGAUAACAUUGAUCAAGAUAAUGCAUAAUUCUGAGAUCUAGAACACUUCCCAGUAACGAUCUACAACUUUUCUAUAUAUUUUCAGGAAAAAGAGCAAUGAUUAGUUGAAGUAAACUUGGUCUGACUAGAAAUCAUCUGUAUCUUCUACUAGCAGAAUGCAAUUUGUGCAUGUCACAACCUCUUUCAACAACUACCUGGCUUCUACAUCACUCAUUGUUAUUGUGCCACUGCUCGGCUUGUCAUUCCUCUUCAAGAAACUGGAUCUACUUUGCAAGAAGAAUCCAGGUUUCUUGGGCCGAGGCAACGCUGUAUCCUCACUGCUUAGCAUCAGAACCACAGACGGCAUCAUUGGCCUCUCGUCUGCUGCGUUUUGGACACAUAAUAAUCCAAUUUGGAUACACCUCUUUACUUGUGGUUCCGUGUAUGAACUUUUGUAGCUUGUAUCCAUCAUCUCCAGCUCUCUAUUUUCCUGCCAAAGUAGCCAUGCCUGCGACAAAUUUAGUAUGGACUUAACAAGGUUUUCAUAGGAAAAAGUUCCACUAUUUAUUAUUGCAAUUCAGCAUAUCUGAAUUGUUCAAUAACGAGCAACAGAAUAUAGUUUAGUUCACCUGUUCGAGAAGGUUCUGAUAGCAAGAAGGAUGCUUGAAGCCUGUGUUCUUUUUCCCACUCACUAUCUCCAAUAUUACUACUCCGAAGCUAAAUAUGUCUGACUUGACAGAGAACUUCCCAUCAAAUGCAUACUCCGGAGCCAUGUAGCCACUGUAAUGAGCUCUGAUGCAUUAUUCUCUAUGAGAAGAGUAUGUAUACAUAACUGCUUUGUGUGUGUGUGACACUUACUAUGUCCCAGCAACUCGUUUUGUUCUCGCUGUAGACUGAUCGCCUUCAAACAUUCUAGCUAGACCGAAAUCUGAGAUCUUCGCAUUCAGAUUCUCAUCUAAUAAGAUAUUGCUUGCUUUUAGGUCCCUGUGGAUGAUUUUCACUCUGGAAUCAUUAUGGAGGUAAACCAUACCCCUUGCAAUCCCCAUGAUAAUAUCGAAGCGCUUUGGCCAAGUCAAUAGUGGCCUUCUUUCUUGAUCUGCAUGUGUUGAAGAGUAUUACUAAGGUAAAAAUAAAACUGUAAUCUCUUGGAUAGAGUAGAAACUGUAGAAAGAUUUUCUCGAAAUUAUUAUCCAAACCAAAAAUGAAAUAGUCCAAGCUUUUGUUCUGCAUGUAUUCAUAGAUCAACAUCUUUUCCUCCCCUUCAAUGCAGCAUCCCAGGAUUUUGACCAGGUUCCUGUGCUGGAGUUUCGCGAUCAAAAUGAAUUCAUUUCUGAACUCUUCGGGGCCUUGUCCAGAACUCCUCGACAUUCUUUUCACCGCAAUUACUUGCUCUGCUGAUAGAAUUCCCUGCAGUGGCCAAAUCAAAAUCAAACUCAAACAGUAUAUAUUAUUGCUACUAUAAGUAAAUAUUGAUUUAUAAGCAUCACUUAACAUAAUGUUUUUACCUUGUAAACAGGACCAAAACCGCCUUCUCCAAUCAUAUUCUCUGUUGAGAAGUUAUUCGUGGCUGUUGCGAUGGUUCCCAAAUCAAAUAAAGGUAACUCUAAUCCACCCCUUACCUUCUUAGAAGCUGUGAAAGCAGUUAGUUAUACAUUUGUUCAAGUGUCUAUAAUAUUUGCUUGCAACAUAUAUCUUUACUGUGUAAACACAAUCAGUAAUUUGACCUUGUCUCCUGUGUCUUAUCUGUAGAAAAAAGCCUCCAAUAGCAAAGCCCAAUAUAAGCAUUCCAAACCCAGAAGCAGCAGCACCUAUAAGCUUCAACUCUCUCUUUGCUUGCCCUGUCCUCUUCCUAUUCGAAUCUGUCGCAUGUUCUAAGACGAAAUAUCAAGUAUUAGUAAUAAGGUUUGAUAAAAUACAAUCUCAGCUAAUCUCCUUAGCUCAUUAUAGAAUGCACUGAAGUAUUCAUCAUACCAAGUUCUGUAACAGGCACGCGAAUAUAAACAGUCGGUACUGCUCCAGAUUCUGUGCUCAGCUCCCUUAAGUCAAUCAAGUCCCCAAACCACAUCAAACAGUUUCUUUCAUAAUCUGAGUAAGGAUCAUCAGCAUAAGCCGUGCAGUUACAUUCGCUUAGGCAUUUUCUGCGACAUUCAACAGAGCUCAUAUUAGCAUUCAACUGAAAAUUCAGUGAAUCAGGGAACUUGAUUCCUUCCAUCUUCAGAAAGUCAUCUCCCUUUUGGCAAUCUAAUGGUGGAUCUCUAUAACAUCCAUUUCUCCACUCAUACAUCCUCCAUUCCUUUUCAGAUCUCGGCUUGAAUCCCCUUAGACACUCACAUACUGGCAUUUUGUUAAUCUUGCAGAUGCCAUAAUGACCACACCUGCCAUAACUGUUACACAAAUCGUCUGUAGAGGCUAUCAUGAGAUUCCAGUGGUCUUUUUGGUCGUUCAUGAUGUAUCCCUCGAGCACGCCUGAGUAGUUCAUUGUUACCCUUAUGAUUGCUGAAUCACUGAAAGGGUUGGAUACUGAAACCAAUCUGCCCCCUUGUGAUGAAAAUUCUGUUUUCCAGUCUUGAUUUGGUGAAUUCGGAAAUUCAGGGAAGUGGCCUCCCCAGAAGAUCGUCCUAUACACUCUUUGUGCCCCCUUGGUAAGCAUGAGUUGAGACAAUCCAUGGUUUUCAAUCCUGUAGCUGAAUUCUCCGACAGAUGGGUCGUCAACAGUUCUCCACGAUGUCAGAUAUUUAGCCUGAUCUCCAGUAUGAGUGUCUCCCACCACCAUCUUCAUUCCAGGUAACCUUGUGUCACCCGGGUAGUCAAAGCUCUGCCAUAUGUAGCUUGCCUGUGAGAAAGAGUUGGGUAUUAGUUUGUCUACAAUAAGCAGGUUGCCAGAAUCCAGAAGCUGUACAACUGGAGUUGAUGCAGCCAUGGAGGAACUGGAAAUCCAUAUGGGUGUUGUACCCUGUGGUGAG
rnacentral:lncRNA from 1 species